rnacentral:misc_RNA from 1 species
UAGCUACAAUCGAUGUUGCUGGGGCUUUUAUCGGUGUGUUGAACCACUCAACUGUACUUUCUGGUGUCUUAAUGUUCAUUAUUACGUACGCUUCACCAAUGUUAUACCUCCUUAGUAUGGUGAUGUACAAUUCUGUGAAGGACACGAGCAGUUCCAUAAUUUCCGAGAAAGGCAACAUUGGAUCGUUGCUCAAGAGGACACUUGGUUUUCCUUGUCUGGUUCCGUUGGGUUUGAACUCCAUUCUUUUGAUUGCUUACACAACUGUGUUGCUGCUAAUGCGGAAUCAUUUAUUUGUUUGGAGUGUAUUUUCUCCCAAGUUCUUGUACGUUUGUGCUACGACUGUUUGUGUUUGCGUUGGUGUAUCUAUUGUAGCUUCAACUAUGAUCUAUAUCAGUUUGGUCUUGACUUACCGAGAGAAGUUGCACACUCAUACAGACUAGUCUCAAGAAAGAGUAUGACAUAUAAACAACUAACCCGAUUCAAGUGUUCUGUUUGUUCUCCAUCGACAGGUAUGCCAGUUGCUUUACCCAUUUACGUCGAUCUAAACAUUCUGGGGAAGUUGUGGACUAGAAAGAAGCAUUCUACGCGAAG